GCUCGUCUCCGCCCUGCCUGCGGGGGACGGAUGGAGGUGGCGGCGGCUCUGUGUCUCAGGAGAGAAUGGCAGCGGCAGUCAUCCUCCCAGCCGCCUGAGCUCCGGCAACCGCGGAGGCCUCAGCUCAGGCCUUAGACACCAGCGCGCAGACACCGACCCAGGGCGCCGCCGCCGCCGCCCCUCCCCCGGCCCGCGGCAAUCAAUGGAAAAAUGGCGGCUGCCGCUCUCGCGAGAAUUCGGCGCGGUGGGCGCGCAGCCGGGCGCCUGGCGCCUGAGGUGCGCGGGCGGCCGUCGCGAGCUUGGCAAUCUUCUCACCUCUUUCUCGGCCCUAGGGGUCAGUCUGAGGGAGCCUCUGAGAGCAGAGCUGAAAUGGGUUUCAACCUGUGCAGUUUUCUUGAACAUGCUUUUUUGAGAAUUUUAAUCUCUUCUGACAGCUAA
rnacentral:lncRNA from 1 species